rnacentral:rRNA from 1 species
CGUGCAGUCGAACGGUAACGCGAGGUGCUUGCACCUUGGCGACGAGUGGCGGACGGGUGAGUAACGCGUAGGAAUCUACCCAGUAGCGGGGGAUAGCCCGGAGAAAUCCGGAUUAAUACCGCAUACGCCCCAAGGGGGAAAGAGGGCCUCUUCUUGAAAGCUCUCACUAUUGGAGGAGCCUGCGUUGGAUUAGCUAGUUGGUGGGGUAAGGGCUCACCAAGGCGACGAUCCAUAGCUGUUCUGAGAGGAAGAUCAGCCACACUGGGACUGAGACACGGCCCAGACUUCUACGGAAGGCAGCAGUGGGGAACAUUGUGCAAUGGGCGAAAGCCUGACACAGCCAUGCCGCGUGUGUGAAGAAGGCCUUCGGGUUGUAAAGCACUUUCAGCGGGGAGGAAGAACCUUGGUUAAUACCCAAGGUCAAUGACGUUACCCGCAGAAGAAGGACCGGCCAACUCCGUGCCAGCAGCCGCGGUAAUACGGAGGGUCCGAGCGUUAAUCGGAAUUACUGGGCGUAAAGCGCGCGUAGGUGGUUUGUUAAGUUGGAUGUGAAAGCCCAGGGCUUAACCUUGGAACUGCAUUCAAAACUGGCAGACUAGAGUACGAUAGAGGGGGGUAGAAUUCAGAGUGUAGCGGUGAAAUGCGUAGAUAUUCUGAGGAAUACCGGUGGCGAAGGCGGCCCCCUGGAUUGAUACUGACACUGAGGCGCGAAAGCGUGGGGAGCAAACAGGAUUAGAUACCCUGGUAGUCCACGCUGUAAACGAUGUCAACUAGCCGUUGGGAGGCUUGACCUUUUAGUGGCGCAGCUAACGCGAUAAGUUGACCGCCUGGGGAGUACGGUCGCAAGAUUAAAACUCA